rnacentral:rRNA from 1 species
GGAUUGAAAUGGGCGCAGCCUGAUCCAGCAAUGCCGCGUGAGUGAAGAAGGCCUUCGGGUUGUAAAGCUCUUUUGUCAGGGAAGAAACGGUGGGAGCUAAUAUCCCCUGCUAAUGACGGUACCUGAAGAAUAAGCACCGGCUAACUACGUGCCAGCAGCCGCGGUAAUACGUAGGGUGCAAGCGUUAAUCGGAAUUACUGGGCGUAAAGCGUGCGCAGGCGGUUUUGUAAGACUGUCGUGAAAUCCCCGGGCUCAACCUGGGAAUGGCGAUGGUGACUGCAAGGCUAGAGUUUGGCAGAGGGGGGUAGAAUUCCACGUGUAGCAGUGAAAUGCGUAGAUAUGUGGAGGAACACCGAUGGCGAAGGCAGCCCCCUGGGUCAAAACUGACGCUCAUGCACGAAAGCGUGGGGAGCAAACAGGAUUAGAUACCCUGGUAGUCCACGCCCUAAACGAUGUCUACUAGUUGUCGGGUCUUAAUUGACUUGGUAACGCAGCUAACGCGUGAAGUAGACCGCCUGGGGAGUACGGUCGCAAGAUUAAAACUCAAAGAAAUUGACGGA